UCUUCUUAUUUCUACCCGAACUACUCUUCCUCCGUCUCCUUUCCCUUCCCUCGCUGAUUCCCUUCUUCUCUUCUUCCUCUCCUCACCCCCGUGCCCUAAUUCCUCUGCCUGAACUCGCAGCAGCACCCCACGCCACCGUCGCCACCCGAUCCCUCGCUUUCUACCUUCGCUCUCUGCAUCGUCUCGGCCCAACCGCCGACGACGACCUUCUGGCCGACGAGUCACCUGGAGGUUCGAGAGGCAGGAGCCAUCAUUGAGCUCGAGGAACGCAAAGGAACCCUUCCCCUGCUUGUGCCCUGUCUUGAUCCAACCAUCGGCCCAGCGAUCUUCUCCUACUCCGAUCGUCUGUUCAUCGCGCCCUGAUCCACUGCCAGCCCAGGGCAGGGAGUUGUCGACCUGUAGUCACUGUACCUGUGCGCCGAAACCUGUUGGCUGUGUUGAGUUCGGCCAGCCAUCACAACCCUUCCUUUUCCUUGGCACCACCACAGCGGCAUCCAAAUUGCGUCUGAGGAAAUCGAUGGAUCCAGAUUAGGGCUUCGGUGAGCAAUGUUCGCCGAUGAUCCUUCAGGUUGCGAGAGCUGAUGGUCAGAUUCACCAUUGCCAAGAGAAUUGAGAGCUACUGAUUUUAGGUGACAUUUUGUAUCUGGUUUGACGACCCUUAUAUUCCGGAUAGGAGGUUCUAAUAUUAGGUAGAUACUUGUGGAGUCGCUUGGAGUAUCCUGUCUGUCGGUCCUACGCCACAUCUGAAGAUCACUUUGAGUGUCGUUUACGUUUUUUUGUGUUUUUGGUAUUUGAUGUAUUUAGCAUUGUUAUUAUAUUUGUGUUGUUGUGGUUGUUGUGUAAAGCUUAGCCGGCUAGCAGUUGUUGUUUUCAGUUUGUAUAGUUUUUCUUUAUCGUU